GACGAACGCUGGCGGCGUGCUUAACACAUGCAAGUCGAACGGGAUUUAGUAAACAGAAGCCUCGGUGGAAGAUUACUAAUGAGAGUGGCGAACGGGUGAUUAACGCGUGAGCAACCUGCCUAUGACAGUGGGAUAGCCUCGGGAAACCGGGAUUAAUACCGCAUAAAAUCGUAGAAACACAUGUUUUAACGGUCAAAGAUUUAUCGGUCAUAGAUGGGCUCGCGUCUGAUUAGCUAGUUGGUGAGAUAACAGCCCACCAAGGCGACGAUCAGUAGCCGGUCUGAGAGGAUGAACGGCCACAUUGGAACUGAGACACGGUCCAAAAUCCUACGGGAGGCAGCAGUGGGGAAUAUUGCACAAUGGGGGAAACCCUGAUGCAGCGACGCCGCGUGAACGAAGAAGGUAUUCGUAUCGUAAAGUUCUGUCCUAUGGGAAGAUAAUGACAGUACCAUAGAAGAAAGCUCCGGCUAAAUACGUG
rnacentral:rRNA from 1 species